GGAAAUCUACCACUGUUUUGUAAUGUUAACUUUUGAUAUAGAUUGAACAUGUCUAUACUCGUCACAUGCUCAGAGACAUAUCUUGCCAUGAAAAGAAUCUGGACUUGAGGCUGGAUCUGUGCACCAAAAGAACUGUAACUACUUUUACUGAUGAUGACUUGGAAAGCCUCAAAUUUUUGAUAAAUUCUGCUAGAUGUCAGGCACCCAAUAAAAGGUAAAAAAAAUGAAUAAAUGAAGUUGUGGGUAGUGUAAAAGAUUUUCUUGAAGGUGAGUUAUAUUUUGU